CCUACGGGGGGCAGCAGUUGGGAAUCUUUCACAAUGGGCGAAAGCCUGAUGGAGCAACGCCGCGUGCAGGAUGAAGGCCUUCGGGUUGUAAACUGCUUUUAUAAGAGAGAAAGAUGAUGGUAACUGAUGAAUAAGGAGCGGCUAACUACGUGCCAGCAGCCGCGGUCAUACGUAGGAUCCGAGCCUUAUCCGGAGUGACUGGGUGUAAAGAGUUGCGUAGGUGGCAUAAUAAGUAGCUAGUGCAAUCUGGUGGCUCAACCAUUCAGACUAUUAUCUAAACUGUUAAGCUCGAGCCCGUUAGGGGUAACUGGAAUUUCUAGUGUAGGAGUGAAAUCCGUAGAUAUUAGCAGGAACACCAAUCGCGUAGGCAGGUUACUGGGACGGUUCUGCCACUCAGGCACGAAAGCGUCGGGAGCAAACCGGAUUAGAUACCCCGGUAGUC
rnacentral:rRNA from 1 species